CACCAACCAAAAGCCCCAGAUCAGAGGCAGAGCAGCUGGGUGCUCCUGUUAAAAGCGGUCGCCAUGUGUGAACUGUUCAAAGACUCGAUCCAGGCGCUCAGGAAAAGCUCCUGGUGUCUAGCAGCAAAUUUCCGCCUGAGUUGCAGAUGGGUCAGGCAGCCAGACUGUUUUAGCACUCUUUGAUGGUGGACAUCUGCCUGAGUGGAUAUGGUAAAGGCUCAGGGGGAGGAAGGACCAGCAGGCCCUCGUCCAUCGCCUUACCCUGGACAGAUGACAGCUAUCAUCAGCAGAGAAUGUCCCUUUGUAAUUGUGGUGAAGGCCACCCCAUGGAACUGGAGAUCAUAUGUAGAUGUGUUUUCCAUGCAGUACACCAAGGCAAUGUGGACAUUGUCAUUUUACAUCCUAUCCCUGGGCUGUUGUCCACCAUUUAGCCUCUGUGCUGAACUAUAAUUUGGGAAACUGAUUAUCACAUAUAAAUAUUUUUAUUAAUAUUGGAACCCCAUUAAGAUACAAAAACUACAAGGAGGGGUUGUUUGCUGGUGGUGGUGAACAGAAUCUAUAUUUUAGGUAGUCUUUUUUUCUAUCAGUUUUCUUGGUAAAAUGUAGUUUGGAGACCACACCAACUUCCCACUGAAAAGACUGCAAGAUUUCACAAGAUAUUUUCACUGGGAACGUGAAAAUUGUCAGUUCGUUACCCCUUGAUCAGUCAAUUAGUGUGAAAACAACAAUGACUGAAAGACUCCCAAUUACAAAACAGAAAGUUGUUCACACAUAGAUCUGAUAAUUGUUGAAAGUUGUGUAGUAUGUUAAAGCCUGAAGGGGGGCUUCAGAAAUGUCAAUCUUUUUCAAAAGGACUUUGAUUCACACCAACUAGACUGACAAAUGAAUGAAUGAAUGAAUGAAUGAAUUAAUUAAUUAAUCAAUUCAUGAAUUAAUGAAUAUUGUAAAACAGACAAGCCUCUUGCAUGGACGGAAACUAUGGACUUUUUUCUGGUGUGGAUGGGCAGAUAAAAGAA